UAUAUAUAUAUAUAUAUAUAUAUAUAUAUAUGUAUGUAUGUAUUACCACUUAUCAGAUUUUUGUCGUUUUUAUUAAAGCAAUCUGAAUAAGUGUAAACACGUUUCAAGAUAGUACUCUCAAUAUUGAAAUAUUUUUAAUCAGGUACGACAUGAGUCAGGUGUUAAAUUCAAAUUGAUUGUAAAAUUAUGAACGCGUGUCGUGUUCGGGACGAUGAAUUUCGAAAGUGAGUAUGAAAUUAUUUGCCGUCGUAGCAAUUAAAUUUGGAGUAUCGAACGAAGAAGUUAUUUCUUUUCUUUUUUUUACUUCUUUUUUUUUUUUUCCUCUAACAACAGUUUCGUAGCAAUUAAUAAUGAAUAUAAAUUUUUGAGGAUAUUUAUCUCACUUGUUUUUCCUCUUAGAGGAUCACGUUGAUUCUUAAAAGAAAGAAGUGUAUCCAAGAUUCUGAUUCAUCGUAGAAAUUCCAAGAAGCUUACACACACGAUUAUCUGCUCACUAUGUCUCCUCAGAAUCGAAAGAACAAAGGUCGGAACGUAUGAUACUUUUGUCUCGUGCGCGGCUAAUGAAAGGGAAAAAAUUCAUGUGACUGAUGAUGAAGAAAGCACAAGAAGAGUCCGUCUGUCAAAACGAAGUCUGUGCCUUGUCAAGGGACGUCUUUAAGGUGAACAUGGAACCGAAAAGGGAACGAAGGAAAGAACUUUUUUUUUUCUUUAGGUAAUCGUCAUCAUUGGAAGUGUUCGUAGAAAUUAUAACAAUUUUUUUAUUACCAUAUAAUUACGAACUGGAAAUUUAUCGCGAAUGAUGACUGAAUCACCAGGUCCAUUCAUACGUAAACUCGUUUGAAGAUAUCUGAGAAAAAGAAAACAUCGAAAGAAAAGUUUCGACGAUCAGGAUAUGUCUAUCGUUUAUCCACACGAAUCCCUUCCGGUCAACCCACUUUAGGACGAAAUGCGAUUGCAUCGAAGCGAAUGAACAGCAGCCAUCAUGUAUUUGGUACAGAGGACACAGAUCGAACUUCCGGCUGUCUCGAACCCUUCGUUCUUUCUCUAUCUUCCAUCCGGUCAGCCUUUGAACGGGCAGCAAAGAGCAGAGACACCACAAUAUUCUAUGGAUCAACGGGUCAUACCCUAUUAAGUUCGAUCUCGUUACACGCGUACGUAAUAGUAGGUACGACCCUUUACACUUCCUCGUCAGAUUUAGAAUGGGUGGGGGGUCUCUCUGACCUUGAGAGUCUCCAACAGGAAACAGAUACGAUUGAUAUCGUGUUCAUGAAUUUUCAUUGGUCGCGCAACGAUCAUUCUAAAAUAAUCUUUCGUCAUUGUAGUAUUUCGUGAUGAAUAUGGUAUCACGUAAAAUCUAUGAAAAUGUGUGGGUGAGGUUUACGCGUAUGACAUUAUUUCGUUAUAUAAUUUAUAAUAUUUGCCUUUUAGCCCUAUAAGAGUAAACUUGGUUAUCAAACAACGGACAUAUACUUGAACGCUGAGUUCAUUGAUAUCGAGAAGAGAUAGAAUGGGACGCGGCGAGGAAACGAUGUAGAAAGAGAGAGAAAGAGAGAGAGUGAGAAGAGGGGAGGGGAGGUGGAGUCAUCGUAAAAGAAAGAGUCAAUGGGACCACUGUAUGCCAGAUGGUCGGAGCAGCCCUCUAGAUAUUAUACCGUCGGACCUUCCAGCAUUUACUUACUAUUUCUUAAUGACAAGAAAAGAUUCGUUUCACUAGUGUAUCAUAACUAUUCGAUGGAAAUAGGUAUAGAACAAGAUCUCGAAUGGAUAAGAAGAUAAAUUAAAAGGAUAUAUCGUUCACUUUCAUUUUUUUUCGUCGAAUUUCUAUUCAAAAAUCGUCUAGGCUAUUUUGUUAGACUUUUUCUGGAUGUGGAAUUUUAAAGGGUCUCUUAACGGUACAUAUGGGUUUUCUUGCUUCUUCUUAGAAUAAAAAAAAAAAAAAAAAAAAAAACCGGAGAACAUCUCUCGUAGUAGCAGGUAACGUUGAGAAUCGAAAGCAGAAUAGAAAACGUUGGGUGAUGUUAAGAAAGAGUAAGAGAGAGAGAGAGAGAGAGAGAGAGAGAGAGAGACCAAGGAAGAAACGAGAUGAUUAAUUCCUGCGGUCGAAUGAGUAACGCGAGACUCUCUAGGAUCCUUCUUAAAGACAGAAAGUUUUUAUCUCGUUGUGGCUAACUUGUCUUGAGGUUUCCGUAUCGUCGUCAUACUUUAACGUGAUGAUUCAUGGUUGAAAGAGUACCACCAUUGUGUAUUGUUAAAGUUGAAUUCUGAUCGAGAUGAUCGAAGGAGGAGAACUACUACUGACUCGAUCGUGAAUGAAGGGAUUGCUUUGAUCAAUUCCUUGACAAUUAUUUGAUUCCAUCGAACUCGUAGACCGGAUCGCUCGAGAAUCGAUGUCUUUGUACUCUCUUCUGGGAUCGGAAGUGGCAUCACCAAGGAAACGUGGCGUCUAACUUUAUUCUCUUUUUUUCUUCUCGUAUUUGACCGCACGAGAGGGAGUCGGGAGGAAUGGGAGGGACGGACAAGGAGGGACAGGGAGGGCUAGGGAGGUUUGGCCCUCGAGCAUUGUACAGUCAGGAUCUCUCAAGGUAUCAUUAUUCGAACCCCAUCCAACAAACGGAGAGAAAGAGAGAGAGCGAGAGAGAGAGAGAGAGAGAGAGAGAGAGGGAGGGAGCGGGAGAGAGAGAGAGAGAGCCUCGAGCUCCGUAAAGCCAUACGCCAAGAAUGUUAAGUGUCGCAAUCGUUCAUUGUUCGGCGUUGCACGAAGGAGAAGCUCGACCAUCUGCAGAGAACCGGGAACUCGCCGCAAUUCUUCUCUCCCUAACCCUUUUUUUUAUAUUUUUGUUUUGUUUUGUUUUGUUGUACUUUUUCUCUUUCUUUUUUUGUUUUCCUUUUUUUUUUCUUUUUAUUUUUUUCCCCUUUUUUUUCUUUUUUUUUUCCCUUUGGUCUUGCGCCAGAUGUUCGAUUCAGUAUGGAACAGAAGCUUCGAUAGGAAGAAGAAGAAGAAUAGGUCAUUUGUAAAUUUAGUACAAAAGGGAAAAUAAUGAAUUUUAGAUAUUAAUUUCUAAAGUCCAUUCGAUAUUUCACUUUUGACUUUUGUUGGAAAGAUGAGGGUCCAUUAUUGUUUGAUUUAAUCGAUUGAUUCGUUUCUUAUUUUAUUUAUUUAUUUAUUUAUUUAUAUAUUUUUCUUUUUUUUUCGUACAAAUUUGUUCGAGGAUACUUGCAGAAUGUUUACGAGCAUUUUAAUAUUCGUGCUGUAGGAUGUUCAAAGGAAAAGAUUCUUAGAAUGCAAUUACUUAUUGAUUUUUAAUAUCGAUUAGGUUCCUUGGUUUACUUGGUCUUUGUUACUAUAAAAAACAAAAGAAAAAAGAGAAGAAAAAUUCAAUUGUUUGUUUGUUUGUUUGUUUGUUUUUUUUUUAAGGGUACUUGCACGAAACGUUUCCAGCUUCUGGAUAUGUUUAUUCUCAAGGACGUUAAAUGUGCGAGAUUCUUAGAAUGCAAUUUGUCGUCUUACUCAGUGACACCAUUGCCAUCUCUACCGCGAACUUUCGCGGUGACAUAAGCCGAUUUGGCGCCUGACUAUUAAACGUCACGAUGUGUCCUACGUACUUAUGUACGUGUAUAUAUAUAUAUAUAUAUAUAUACACAUUGCGAAUGCAUUAGCACGUGCUCGCAAUGUGAACAUCGUAAUCUCAUACAGAGAGCCGAUGGAUCGAGGAAAGCAUCAUCUAAAUAUAAUCAUUACUUCUAAGAAUCUCUCGUACUUAUCUUGAAUGAGAAUUCAUAAAUUCCAAUGAUAAAAACGAGAAGGAACGGACGUAUAUGAAUUUUUUUCAAGUAAAAGGAAAAAAGAAAGAAUAGAAAAGAACAGAAAGGAAAAAGAAAAAGAAAACAGAAAAGAAAUAAAGCGACAAGGAUUUGAAUUUGGUUCAUUCGAGAUAGAUCAAGGAUAAAUGGAGAUAAAGAAAGAAAAUUUAUUGAUUCAUCCGGGAUCAACCGUUCGAACGAGGGCUCUUCUCUCUAGGUUUCGUGGAAAAACGGGUAAACGGCAUAGAUAAGGGAGAACAGAGAUAACGGCGAGACAGUGAGGAUGCAGAUAAACCGGGAAGAAGACCACUUUACGAUUUUAUUUAUUUCAAAUGGCGUUGCGACCGAACGGGGUUCUUUAUCGCGACGGAAGCCAAAGCUCCAAGCUAAUUCUUAGUACUAAUUGGACGUAACGAGACGACAUCGUAGAAAGAUCCUUCGUGUCCUUGGGAAUCGACCUUCACACGGAGUCAUCGAUGCGAAGAUUUUUCUAUAACGGUUCAUUGUGAAGAAAGAGAAAAAGGUUACUGGACUACAUGCAUUUUAUAUGAUACGUCUCAGCAAUUAAUCUAAUCGUUGAAGAUCGAGAAGAAGAAAAAGAGGAUGGAGAUGAAAAUAAUAAAAAUGCGAGAAUGGACAAAACCAUUGGAUUAUAAGUUGGUUCGUCUUCUCUAUCUUCUUAUAUUCCAUUCGUUCAAAGGCUGUAACUAAUCGAGAAAGAUCUUUCAUGAUCGCAGACACCUCUCUCUCUUUCUCGAUGCACAUGACGUUGCAUUUAUUGUCAGUGUUUAUGAUGGAACUUUGCGAUCGGCAUGACGAGACAUUUUAUUUUCGAGAAGGAAAUUCGACAAAACAGGAACAGUUAGGUACGAUCGCCAUGACCCUAUAUAUAUAUCACGUAGAGUCGAUUUAUUAUAGCGUAUAGAGUGUAGUUUUGGAUUUAUUUCUUUUGGAAAAAGGAAAAAAGAAAAAAGAGGGAGAAAAGAAAAUGCGCAAGAAGGAAAAAGUAGAAGAAUAAAAAAAAAAAAAAAUGUCUAAACAGCUUUCUCCUUGCAUUUCCGGAUAAAAUCGUUGAUUUCUAUUUUGAAUUUUUCUUAGCGAAACGAGAUUCGAAAGGGACUCCUACGUCAAGUUUUACCACAGUAAUAGUGGCCCAAGAGAGAGAAAGAGAAAGAGAUAGAAUAAGAGCGAUUAAGUGGAUCCGCAAGGGUAAACGCAGCUCGUAUAGUUUUUCACUUCUCAUUGUGAGUUAGCCGCAAUGUGCGACGCUCGGUAUGCGGGGUUCUCACAGAGAAUUCUUCGUUCAAGAGAGAGAGAGAGAGAGAGAGAGAGACACAAAAAAGAUGGAAGGUUUACUACGAGCUUGGGACGCUUGCUUUAAAACGAGGGAACUCGCUUUUAACACUUAUAUUCUCUUACCGACAGAAGGAUCUCUUUUUAUUUUUUUGUUUCUGUUUUUCAAUUUUUUUUUGUCUUUUUCUCGUAUUUUUGUUGUUUUUCUUUUCAUACUUAGAGAUCUUUUUUCGAGUACCCCAUUCAGCUAACUUUACAAUGUGAGAUCUACUCAUAUAGAUAUUGACUUUGGAAAGUUUUGCGCGCAGUUCAUUUCACACGUUUAAUGACGAAUUAAAAUUUUUUGCACACGUUUCAUAGAUUGAAAAAACGUAAGCUUUUUUAUUAUUAUUAUUAUUAUUAUUAUUAUUAUUAUUAUUAGCGAAUAUAUUUGAACCGUUUGAAUGAAACGUCAGAAGAAGAAGAAGAAGAAGAAGAAGAAAAAGCUUCGAAAGCGCAUGAAUUUUUUUUUGCGAGAGAAUAAAAAAAAGAAGCAAAAGAAAAAAGAGAAUUUAGAUAGUAAAGGUCAUCACAAACGAAGUUAAUAGCGAGUCUAUCUAACGGAAGAAACGGUGCGUUUGCUCCGACCUUUGCGCAGUCGCGUGUGAAACGGGUCAGAGUGUAGCUUGUCUGAACAGAGUAAAAAUUCUUUGUAUUUACGCGUGAUUAUUAAAAGAAAAGAGUAGAGAGAGAGAGAGAGAGAGAGAGAGAUGAUUGCACGCGUAGAGAAGAGCAACAGAAUAAUGACUGGAGGAGUAGAGUCAUAUAAUCCGACAAUUAUAAUGAUAAUUAUUAAGCCAAGAAUACAGUGUUGCUACAGUCGAGUGCUAAAAAUUACUCGGGACGGAUAUCCCUUAGAUUCUUAGAAAGUAUAUAUUUAAUUUAAUAUAAUAAAUCAUUGAAAUGAUGAUUUCUUGGUGGUCUAUUAGCUAAGCGACUGGAUGAAAAAUCUUAUUUCCGUAAGCGUUAGAAAGAGAGAGAAAGUAAUUCCAUGUGUGUGUCUCGACAAGCAGAUGUAAAAGAAAAAUAAGCAGCAGUGGGUCCUUCUUAAACAUCUUGCGUUAGGAUGAAGGCCCUCAAGAGACUCAUGUUUCUCUCUUCUCGCAAAAAGGGACGCGAAACCGCACGUCUUCUACUUGCAACGAAUGGAAGAGAGAGGGAAAGAAAGAAGAAGAUGAAGAAACAUUUCGAAGAUCGUCGUGAGAAGUUGUGGCUUUUCAUUUGGAAGAUUUCAGAGAUGCAUAAGUGUGUGUUUGUGUGUAUAUGCGUGCGCGAAUGUAAGUUGUUGUUGUUGUUGUUGUUGUUAAUACCUACCCUCCCUCUCUCUCUCUCUGUCUCUCUUUCUCUCUCUCUCUCUCUCUCUCUAUUAAACACGAUAAUGAUAAAGAGUUGAUAAACAAGUCGUUAUCUUAGUGUUGUCUUUCGUUGAAGCUAAAUUCAUUGCUACUGAAUUAUUAGUUAUAUAGACGAGAAUGAUGUGAAUUAAAAAGGCUAAUCUUCUCAGUACAUACAUACAUAUAAUAUCAUCAUUAUCAUCAUUAUUGUACAAGGACGCACGUGGUCGUCCACAGCUGUUAAUAAAAGUAUCAUGAAAAAUAUUAAAACGUUUUACUCACGUCACGCUUGAUAUUAUCAUUUCGUUCUCGUUGUUCGUUUAAUUAAGUCACUUUUUUUUUUCUUUCUUUUUUCUUCGUUUUACAGUGAGAAAUAGAGUAGCUUCCCACAGUUUUUUAAAUGUUACAAAGUUUUUAGGUUCAACGUAUGAUAUACUUUAAUUGUCAUAAGUUUAGAUCGUAAAUUCAUGAUAUUUGUUGGUGUAUCUCUUCUCACCUGUUGUGGUGCUGUAUCAGCCGGAGAAAAACUCGAGAGAGCGGUCAAGGGUGCUAAAGAUGCACAGGACGAUGCUCUCGACGGUGGUGGCGUGUGACCAGGGGUUGGACUUCCGCUUCCGCAACUACUUGCACCCCCGCUCGAAGAUAGACUCACGCUGUCUGCUCGCCCUCUCCAUGGCGACACCGACACGUGUUUCAACAUCUUUCUUUUAUACACGAUUUUACCUGAAAUUUAAUUUCCAUUCUCAUAUCACGAAUUUUAUCAUUACUAUACGAAUAUGUUAUUUUGUUUGUUCGUUAAUAUUUAAGAUUUUGAUGUAUCGUUGGUUUUCAUGUGUACAGUGAAAGCAGUAAGAAUUGUGGACGGGUUAAUAGCAAAAGACUAUGAUUCUUUCUUGAAUUGAAAUAAUCGUUUUAUCCUAGAUACGUCGGAAACAAUUAGGAGACAGGAAGUUGGGAAUAGAAAUUAGAAAAAGAGAAAGAGAGAGAGAGAGAGAGAGAGAGAGAGAGAGAGAGAGAGAGAGAGAGAGACAUUGUCAAUUUUGUAUUUUUGCGUGAACAGGAACUAGUGAAUUACAAUUGACGAGGAUCUUAAAAUGACUCGUAACUUUGCUUAAAAAUUCAAUCCAUCGAAUUUGCAGCCACUCAAAGUUGUUGUACAGAAGAAAUUGAGUUAGGAUAUACGGUAAUUACCGGAGGAAUGUCGUGAUUGCGAGUGAAAAGAAAAAGGUGUCGAGGGGAAUGACUUUGAACGUGUUUGUAUGUGUGUGUGUUGUAUACAUAUAUAUAUGUAUAAUUUGAAGUCCAAGUGAAAUCAGAGUGUUGUCUGGUACCUCCGGAUGUUCAUGCGUGUCAAGAAAAUUAAAAAAGAAAUGUUAGAAGAAGUUCGAAUAAAAAAACUGUUUAAUAACACACGAGAAUCUUAUUAAUUGCUUAUUCUUUUCCUACAUAAAUAUUUUGCUUCUAAUGCAAACGAAAGUUUUGAAUGAAAUCGAAAAUGCUAAAAGAAUUCCGACUGACAAAACUAGUAUUCUUAUCUUUAAUCAAAAAGAGAGAGAGAGAGAGAGAGAGAUAGAAAGAGAAAGAGAGAAAGAGAGAUAAAGGAUGUUCCGAUAAAUUAUAUCAAAACUUUAUAAAGAGGUUGUAGAGUAUUUAUACUCACUUUUACAAAUAUAUAUCGUCGUGUUUAAACGAACGGAGGGACAAGAAAUAAAUUAGAAAUUCUUCCCUUUCAACAAUGAAGAAUCAUUUUAAAUUAAUCAUCGAGCCAAGUUCACAAUCCAAUCGAAUUAGAAUUAACGAAGCAAUCGAAUGAUAAGAACACAAACAAGCACUGAGACGAUAAUCAUAUCACGUGUCACAAAAUUCACGAAUUCCUUCAAGCGUUACCUCUUUUUUUUCUAUUUCCUUUUUAACACGUAGAAAUGAAAACGAUUGUUAGACCGAACAUAUUUUUUUUCGAAAUAAAAAAUGAAAGAGGAAUGAUAGAGCAAGAGCGAGAUAUAUGUAUAUAUAUAUACAUAUAUGUGUGUAUAUAUAUAUAUAUAAAGCGACACAGAAAGCGAGUUAGAGAAAGAGAGAGAGAGAGAGAGAGCGAGAGAGAGAGAGAGAGCGAGAGAGAGAGAGAAAGAUACAGAAAAAGAAAGAUGGAGAUGAACGAACGCGGAGCGCAUUCGAAGUGCACGCGACGAGCGCUGCGCCAGUACUAACUAUCCGCGCGAACGAGUAAAGUAGUAGCGCUGCACGUUCUAUAGUAUAGUAGUAGUCGACCAAGCGGGAACUCAAAAGCCAAGCGAAGGAAAGAGAACGACCUUCCUGUAUGGCGAUAUACUAGCUUCAGAGAAAACUCGACAGAGAGAGAGAGAGAGAGAGAGAGAGAGAGAGAGAGAGAGAGAAGGAGAGAAAGACAGAGAUAGAAAUAGAGAUGGAGAUGGAUAGAUACGUAUGACUAUGGAUAUGGUUCGUAGGUAUGAGUAUGGAUGGAUGUGUGUGUGUGUGUGUGUUUUAGCGUCGGUGGUGCGGGGGCGUAGUUUUGCCGCUUUCGUUGAACAGGAACAUGGACGUCGUAUGUCCACGCAAACGUUCUCCUUCGUUCGCCGACCCUUUGCUUUCUUUUACGAGACACACUUGGACCCAGGACGAUGGCUUGUUACGGUAGAGCAAACCUACUCAAGGUUCACCUUAAGUAUAGGCCCUUUUCUUAGAUUUCUUCUUUUUCUUUUUCUUUUUCUCUUUAUUUUUCUUUCUUCCUCUUUUUCGUUUUCUUUUUCUUUCUUGGAUUUGUUGAUUUUUC